rnacentral:lncRNA from 1 species
CUCAGAAGAAAUUUUACAAAAUCAAGAGAGAUUUCAAGUCCCCAGAUGAAAUAAAUAAAUGAGGAUGCCAGAUGUUCCAAAAUUCAUAAACAAGGGUAUGAAAAAGAUCCCAUUUUGGAACUAAAGAAAGAGGAAUCAGGGGGAAAGUUUUGAAGAGAUCUGUCAUGGAGGUGCAAGUACCCACCACGUGUCUACGCAAAAAUCUGCGGUGAAGGGGGAAUCUCAGCCUUCCCAUUCAAGGAGGUUUAUUCUGUUGGAAGGGCAUCAAAUAUUCCUCACAACAUCUUAAAAUAAAUCUUGAAGGACUGUUCCUGCCAAAAAGAAAGAGGGGUGGAGAUGGAGAACAUGACUUAUUUGCCAAGGUCCCAGGAUAUCAAAAUUCACAGAUUUUCAAAGAUGCUGCUAGAGUCUUCGAUAGAGUAUGUGGUCCUUUUGAAGUAAAGCCAGGGUAAUGGGAAACACUGAAUUUGCUUUGUUAGAAUCCCCUUGUUUGACUCUUCCAAGGUCCAGCUUUUUCAAAUAAAAUGGCACGCUAACAGCA